rnacentral:pre_miRNA from 1 species
GGCCCGGUUAAGUUUCGAACAUUGAUUGUCCAAACGCAAUUCUUUCUGGUUAUAAAUGAAGAGAACUGUGUAUGGACGUCAGUGCUCGUGGCUAG